AGUGAACGCUGGCGGCAGGCCUAACACAUGCGAGUCGAACGGCAGAACAGUGGAGCUUGCUCCAUGGGUGGCGAGUGGCGGACGGGUGAGGAAUACAUCGGAAUCUGCCCAGUCGUGGGGGAUAACAUAGGGAAACUUAUACUAAUACCGCAUACGACCUACGGGUGAAAGCGGGGGAUCGCAAGACCUCGCGCGAUUGGAUGAGCCGAUGUCCGAUUAGCUAGUUGGCGGGGUAAUGGCCCACCAAGGCGACGAUCGGAAGCUGGUCUGAGGGGAUGAUAAGCCACCAGGGGACUGAAAGACGGUCCAGACUCCUGCGGGAGGCAGCAGUGGGGAAUAUUGGAGAAUGGGCGCAAGCCUGAUCCAGCCAUGCCGCGUGGGUGAAGAAGGCCUUCGGGUUGUAAAGCCCUUUGUCCGGAAAGAAACGCCUCGGAUUAAUACUCUGGGGUAAUGACGGUACCGGAAGAAGAAGCACCGGCUAACUUCGUGCCAGCCGCCGCCGUAACAC
rnacentral:rRNA from 1 species